GCCCGAGUGGCGGAAUGGUAGACGCAAGGGACUUAAAAUCCCUCGGAGGCAACUCCAUACCGGUUCGAGUCCGGUCUCGGGCACCA
rnacentral:tRNA from 1 species